UGGGGGAUAUUGCACAAUGGGCGAAAGCCUGAUGCAGCGACGCCGCGUGGGGGAUGAAGGCCUUCGUGUUGUAAACUUCUUUUGCUCUGAACAAGGCAUGCCUUUGGGGUGUGUUGAGUGUAGGGGUUGAUUAGCGCCGGCUAACUACGUGCCAGCAGCCGCGGUAAUACGUAGGGCGCGAGCGUUGUCCGGAAUUAUUGGGCGUAAAGGGCUUGUAGGUGGCUGGUUGCGUCUGUCGUGAAAGCUCAUGGCUUAACUGUGGGUUUGCGGGGGGUACGGGCUGGAUUGAGUGCAGUAGGGGAGGAUGGAAUUCCUGGUGUAGAGGUGGAAUGCGCAGAUAUCAGGAGGAAUACCGGUGGCGAAGGCGGGUCUCUGGGCUGUUACUGACGCUGAGGAGCGAAAGCGUGGGGAGCGAACAGG
rnacentral:rRNA from 1 species